rnacentral:rRNA from 1 species
UACGUAGGGUGCGAGCGUUAAUCGGAAUUACUGGGCGUAAAGCGUGCGCAGGCGGUUAUGCAAGACAGAUGUGAAAUCCCCGGGCUUAACCUGGGAACUGCAUUUGUGACUGCAUAGCUGGAGUACGGUAGAGGGCGGUGGAAUUCCGGGUGUAGUGGUGGAAUGCGUAGAGCUCCGGAGGAACACCAGUGGCGAAGGCGGCCGCCUGGGCCUUUUCUGACGCUGAGCCGCGAAAGCGUGGGGAGCGAGCCGG